AAGAUGCAUUUUCUCUGAAUGUUUUUAAUAUUUCUCACUAAUUAUGUAUUACAGUUGGUCAGACACCUCAUAAAUCUAGCACUAAAGCUGGCUUGCUCCAUGUAACCCCAAUUGAUCCACCAACAGCAGAAACAUGGACAUGGAACUUGGUAGUAGUUGCAGCGUGUCUUGGAGGUCUCAUCUUACUGGGCCUAGCACUUCUCUUUACCAAAAGAAGAACUGAAAGAUGUUCUAGCAAAAGGACACAAGCUGAUGCCACUGGUAAUGUACACAUGUAGCAGUCAGGAAACAUCACUGUAUUAUUCAUCCAAACAGUAGACAACAAUUAUAUUUUGGUCUUCUUGUGUAUUGAGGUGUGUUUUUUACCUUCUGUUGCAGAUGACUUAAUGUGCAUGAGAGAGCUUAACCAUGGAGGAUCGUUACCUGCCGGUAAUGAUGAAGCGUACAGUGUGAUUACCUCAGUACCUGCU